AAUAGAUACCCCGGUAGUCCACGCCGUAAACGAUGGAUACUAGCUGUUGGGGGCGACCUCAGUGGCUAAGCGAAAGUGAUAAGUAUCCCACCUGGGGAGUACGUUCGCAAGAAUGAAACUCAAAGGAAUUGACGGGGGCCCGCACAAGCGGUGGAGCAUGUGGUUUAAUUCGAUGAUACGCGAGGAACCUUACCAAGGCUUAAAUGCAGACUGACCGUUUUGGAAACAGAACUUUCGCAAGACAGUCUACAAGGUGCUGCAUGGUUGUCGUCAGCUCGUGCCGUGAGGUGUCAGGUUAAGUCCUAUAACGAGCGCAACCCCUGUUGUUAGUUGCCAGCGAGUAGUGUCGGGAACUCUAACAAGACUGCCAGUGCAAACUGUGAGGAAGGUGGGGAUGACGUCAAAUCAUCACGGCCCUUACGCCUUGGGCUACACACGUGCUACAAUGGCCGGUACAGAGAGCAGCCACCUCGCGAGGGGGAGCGAAUCUACAAAGCCGGUCACAGUUCGGAUCGGAGUCUGCAACUCGACUCC
rnacentral:rRNA from 1 species